GACUUCGUGGGGCAAUUGUAGCGCUUCUGACUCCAGAUCAGAAGGUUGCGUGUUCAAAUCACGUCGGGGUCA
rnacentral:tRNA from 1 species